rnacentral:rRNA from 1 species
GACGAACGCUGGCGGCGUGCUUAACACAUGCAAGUCGAACGGAAAGGCCCUGCUUUUGUGGGGUGCUCGAGGGGCGAACGGGUGAGUAACACGUGAGUAACCUGCCCUUGACUUUGGGAUAACUUCAGGAAACUGGGGCUAAUACCGGAUAGGAGCUCCUGCUGCAUGGUGGGGGUUGGAAAGUUUAGGCGGUAGGGGAUGGACUCGCGGCUUAUCAGCUUGUUGGUUGGGUAGUGGCUUACCAAGGCAUUGACGGAUAGCCGGCAUGAGAGGGUAGACAGCGACAAUGGUCCUGCGAGACGGAGCAGUGUGCAACAGGGGGCAGUAGUCGAGAGUCUGACCCAGUGAGGGCACGCGUGAGACAACGGUGCCGGGUGCGUGAUGAAGGCUUUCGGGUUGUAAACCGCUGUCACCUGUGACCAAGCGGGAGUGACGGUAAUAGGUGAAGAAGCACCGGCUAACUACGUG